AACGAACGCUGGCGGCAGGCUUAACACAUGCAAGUCGAACGCAUCGCAAGAUGAGUGGCAGACGGGUGAGUAACGCGUGGGCACAUACCCUUUUCUACGGAAUAGCUCUGGGAAACUGGAAUUAAUACCGUAUACGCCCUACGGGGGAAAGAUUUAUCGGGGAAGGAUUGGCCCGCGUUGGAUUAGCUAGUUGGUGGGGUAAAGGCCUACCAAGGUGACGAUCCAUAGCUGGUCUGAGAGGAUGAUCAGCCACAUUGGGACUGAGACACGGCCCAAACUCCUACGGGAGGCAGCAGUGGGGAAUAUUGGACAAUGGGCGCAAGCCUGAUCCAGCCAUGCCGCGUGAGUGAUGAAGGCCUUAGGGUUGUAAAGCUCUUUCACCGAUGAAGAUAAUGACGGUAGUCGGAGAAGAAGCCCCGGCUAACUUCGUGCCAGCCGCCGCAGUAAAAC
rnacentral:rRNA from 1 species